rnacentral:rRNA from 1 species
GACGAACGCUGGCGGCGUGCCUAAUACAUGCAAGUCGAGCGAAUCGAUGGGAGCUUGCUCCCUGAGAUUAGCGGCGGACGGGUGAGUAACACGUGGGUAACCUGCCUGUAAGACUGGGAUAACUUCGGGAAACCGGAGCUAAUACCGGAUACGUUCUUUUCUCGCAUGAGGAGAGAUGGAAAGAUGGUUUCGGCUAUCACUUACAGAUGGACCCGCGGCGCAUUAGCUAGUUGGUGAGGUAACGGCUCACCAAGGCGACGAUGCGUAGCCGACCUGAGAGGGGGAUCGGCCACACUGGGACUGAGACACGGCCCAGACUCCUACGGGAGGCAGCAGUAGGGAAUCUUCCGCAAUGGACGAAAGUCUGACGGAGCAACGCCGCGUGAGCGAAGAAGGCCUUCGGGUCGUAAAGCUCUGUUGUUAGGGAAGAACAAGUACAAGAGUAACUGCUUGUACCUUGACGGUACCUAACCAGAAAGCCACGGCUAACUACGUGCCAGCCGCCGCGGUAAAAC